CAGGUUCAAGGAGGUGCUAAGGGACAGAGCUUUGUGCCAGGCAGCAGCAGCAGGUUUGGAUCCGGCAGCCUGGAAGCAGCCACAGGCAGAGAACAUUGGGACGCCCACGGCACCGAGGCGUCGUUUUCCGUCCAGGCCGGAGUUUGUGGGCUCAUCUUCCGAAAGCUAAGUGUCAGGGAUGGGGGUGAGGAGAAGAGGAAAAAGGUUUUCAGUGGCAGGGGGCAAUUCAAAGCUAGCUUAGGGCAGAGGGCCAGAGGCCCGGUAAGUAAGGGUAGAGGGUUCGUCCCAGGCAUCAGCAGAGCUUUUGCCGGGCAGGGCAGUGGCAUCCCCCGUCCGCCUUUUAGGGAGCCGGGCGUCAUCCGCCCGGUUGGAGUCCACAGGGUUAGGGUGCAGCAGGGGAUGGGCAGCCCACGCCGGGAUCCCCGUGCCAGGAGCGUCUGCAGUUUUGAGGUGUAGGGUGGAGCAGGAGCACUUGAGAGAGACCCAGUGAGGCUGAGGGAGGGCUUGAGAGGUGAGGGAGUGUCAGGCCAGAGAGCAGGAGGUGAAAGUAAGGCGUAGAGGCUAGGGUGCAAAUUUGAGCACAGGUGUAUGAGCCCUGAGAAGCGUCCUGUUUCCCUGAGAGCAGGUGCAGGCAGCCAGGCUGUGGCAGGCCAGCGGCAGAAGAGCCGAGAGGGGCAGGCAGGAAGCGUUAGUGGGGAGCAGGGUCCGCAGGGCCGGGUCUAACCGGGGGUUUCCCGCCCCGGCCCACCCUGGGAUCUCCUGUCUCCCCGCAGUCGAGGAUGUCUCCUCCCAUUCCUCGAGGCGGCGGUUGGUAAGGCUUCGUGCCUUUGCCACCGCCAAGAGCGCGGCUCUGUCAGCCUCUGCCCUGUCUCAGGGCCAAAGUUAGUUAGGCUAGGGAGAAACUGUGGAUGACUCGUCCUGCCCGCAGGACAACCCUUGGGACCCUGGAUCAGGAGCAUCCUCGACUGCUAGCAUAGGGCCUUAGAGAAGUAGGGUGAAGCAGGGCACUUGAGAGAGACCCAGCGAGGCUGAGGGAGGGCUUGAGAGGUGAAGGAGCGUCAGGCCAGAGAGCAGACCAUGAAUGUAAGGUGUAGAGGCUAGGAUGCAAGUUUGAGUGCAGGUGCAUGAGCCCUGAGAAGGGUCCUGUUUCCCUGAGAGCAGGUGCAGGCAGCCAGGCUGUGUCAGGGCAGUGGCAGAAGCGCUGAGGGGGCAGGCGCUAGGGCUAGGCAGGAAAUGAGGAGGGGGGGCAGAGUCGACUGGGUUGGGGUUGAGCGUGGGAUGCCCACCCUGGUAUCUCUGUCCUGCUGCAAUCAGGGAUGUCACAGCCCUAGUGGAGGCCAGGGUGGGUGAGUGGGCUUAGCAUCCAUCGUGCCACCAAGACGUUGUCCGUGCAGGUGUCAGGCUGUGAGCGAAGCCAAAGCAAGCUGCCCAAGACUCUGGGCAUUGUUAAGAGACGGGGAGCCCCAGGAUCGGUGUUUUUUGGCGGAUGUGCUGCAAAGUUCAUGCUUUAAUGUUUGGUUUUCUUUUUUAUAGCUGAGGAAGAGACACCAGGCUGGUGACAGCAGGACUUUCCCAGAGGGCGAGACGGCAUUCCUUGGCACCGGAUGCGGAUGGCGAUCCCUGGACCUCCCAGAGCUAAGUGGAGGGCUCAAGCUGCAGAGGGCAUGAGAGCAGGGUGCUGGGUUGGGAGUUGCUGGGGGGGGAUUAUUGAGUCUGGUUUGGCUAGGGAGAUGCGCAUCAUGUGAGCGCUUAGGGCACCUGAAGGGCAAGUGUCAUUUUUGCUGGCCAUGCUGAGCUGUGGAGGGCAGAGCAGUCCCGGGCACGUGGUGUCUGUUGUGUGUCGCGCACUCUGUGUGUGUCGGGCAUCUCAUCUUUCAUGUUUUUUCCCAUGGUCCCCCAGGGGUCCUAUGGGGAACCCCGGCAUCACGGUUAGCAUUUCUGAUGUCUGCCUUUGUGGCCCCAGCAGCUUUGACGGGAGAGCUGGGACUUGGAUCUGAAUCUUGUGUCCCUUUAGACUCAUCCAGUGCGAUGUCUUUUGAGGUCUUGUUCUGAGCUGUACAGAGAGCCGUGCCCCGCCACGAUCCAUUUUGGCAGGUUAGGACUUGUUAGAAGUCCAAGCUAGGUCUGGGCUUGUGAGCGGAGGAGUGUCAGGCAUCCAUCUUUGUGAUUCUUGAAAUGAUUCAUCUUGUUAGCAUCAUCUUCCUGCAGGGUUCUGUGAGCCUGGCCAGCUCACCUUAUUUCUUCCGUUUGUCAUCUCAUUCUGAGUUCUCUCGGUCCUCCCGGUCGUUCUUCUUGCGGAGAGCUUUUUGUUGUUGUGGUGUCCCCUGGUUUGUGGUGUCCUGUGUGAUGGAUGUUGUGGUGUCUUUGUCCCGGAGCUGCUCUGCCCUGCCGCAUGGGUGGGUGUAGGGGUAAUAGAAGGAGCCCCUGGGGCCUGAAGUGGGUGAUGUCAGGUGGAGUUGUGGUGCGGAGGGCAUUGGUCGGUUGGCAGCACGUGUCUGUCGCUGUCAAGUUCCCGUGCCGCAGUGUGACUUUGUUCCUGUGUGUGUUUCAGAUGCGGAUGGAUUCACUUGAUGGCAGAGAGCCCCAUCCCGGGUGAGGGGGUGUCCCCAGAAGAGGAACUGAAGCGGGAUGUCAUCUGUCAAGGUGAAGCGGAGCAGGAGAUGUCACUUUCCACGGAGCUGCCCUCAGCAAGCAGAGGAUGGAUGCAGUUUGCCUGUCUCCUGAGUCCUGUGGGGAGCAGAAGAGGAGUGUGUGAUGAAGCCUUGAUAUUUUCCAUUUGAAGGUGCCAUCCAGGUCCACCCCGUGACGACGGCAGGGGGCUCGGAGCGCGGCCGAGGCGUGCGGGGCGAGGACGUGGGUAUUCUUAGGAGACGCUGAGGAAGAGACACCAGCCCGGUGGUGGCAGGACAUUCCCAGAGGGCGAGGCGGCGUUCCUUGGCACUGAUGUGGACGGUGAUCACCGGACCUCCCAGAGCUAAGUGGAGGGCUCGAGGCACAGAGGGGAUGAGAGCAGGGUGCUGGGUUGGGAGUUGCUGGGGGGAUUGAGUUCAGUAUGGAUCUGGAGAUGUGCAGGAUGUGAGUGCUUAGGGCACAUGAAAGGCAAGUGUCAUUUCUGAUUGUAAUGCUGAGACAGGCAGGGCAGAGCAGUCCCGGGCACACGGUGUCUGUUGUCCACUCUGUGUGUGUCAGGCAUCUCAUCUUUCACGUCUUUUCCCAUAGCCCCUCAAGGUGCCUGUGGGGAACCCUGGGAUCACUGUUAGCAUUUCUGAUGUCUGCCUUCCUGGCUCCAGUGGCUUUGACUGGAGAGCUGGGACUUAGAUCUGAACCUCAUCUCUGUUCAGAGUCAUCCAGUGCGAUGUCUUUUGAGGUCUUGUUCUGAGCUGUGCCCCGCCACGAUCCAUUUUGGCGGGUUAGGACUUGUUAGAAGUCCAAGCUAGGUCUGGGCUUGUGAGCGGAGGAGCGUCGGGCAUCCAUCUUUGUGAUUCUCGGAAGGCAUCAUCUUGUUAGCGUCCUCUUCUUGUAGGGUUCUGUGAGCCUGGCCAGCUCACCUUGUUUCUUCCGUUCGUCAUCUCAUUCCGAGUUCUCUCGGUCCUCCCGGUCAUUCUUCUUGCGGAGAGCUUUUUGUUGUUGUGGUGUCCCCUGGUUUGUGGUGUCCUGUGUGAUGGAUGUUGUGGUGUCUUUGUCCCGGAGCUGCUCUGCCCUGCUGCAUGGGUGGGUGUAGGGGUAAUAGAAGAAGCCCCUGGGGCCUGAAGUGGGUGAUGUCAGGUGGAGUUGUGGUGCGGAGGUUGGCAGCACGUGUCUGUCGCUGUCAAGUUCCCGUGCCGCAGUGUGACUUUGUUCCUGUGUGUGUUUCAGAUGCGGAUGGAUUCACUUGAUGGCAGAGAGCCCCAUCCCGGGUGAGGGGGUGUCCCCAGAAGAGCUGCGUCACCGUUUGGCUUUGCAGGGGUCACGUGCAUGGUGAGUAUGUGACAGCAUUUUUGUUUGUGUUUCCUUUCAGGAACUGAAGCGGGAUGUCAUCUGUCAAGGUGAAGCGGAGCAGGAGAUGUCACUUUCCACGGAGCUGCCCUCAGCAAGCAGAGGAUGGAUGCAGUUUGCCUGUCUCCUGAGUCCUGUGGGGAGCAGAAGAGGAGUGUGUGAUGAAGCCUUGAUAUUUUCCAUUUGAAGGUGCCAUCCAGCCAGGUCCACCCCGUGACGACGGCAGGGGGCUCGGAGCGCGGCCGAGGCGUGCGGGGCGAGGACGUGGGUAUUCUUAGGAGACGCUGAGGAAGAGACACCAGCCCGGUGGUGGCAGGACAUUCCCAGAGGGCGAGGCGGCGUUCCUUGGCACUGAUGUGGACGGUGAUCACCGGACCUCCCAGAGCUAAGUGGAGGGCUCGAGGCACAGAGGGGAUGAGAGCAGGGUGCUGGGUUGGGAGUUGCUGGGGGGAUUGAGUUCAGUAUGGAUCUGGAGAUGUGCAGGAUGUGAGUGCUUAGGGCACAUGAAAGGCAAGUGUCAUUUCUGAUUGUAAUGCUGAGACAGGCAGGGCAGAGCAGUCCCGGGCACACGGUGUCUGUUGUCCACUCUGUGUGUGUCAGGCAUCUCAUCUUUCACGUCUUUUCCCAUAGCCCCUCAAGGCGCCUGUGGGGAACCCUGGGAUCACUGUUAGCAUUUCUGAUGUCUGCCUUCCUGGCUCCAGUGGCUUUGACUGGAGAGCUGGGACUUAGAUCUGAACCUCAUCUCUGUUCAGAGUCAUCCAGUGCAAUGUCUUUUGAGGUCUUGUUCUGAGCUGUACGGACAGCUGGGCCCCGCCACGAUCCAUUUUGGCAGGUUAGGACUUGUUAAAGUCCAAGCUAGGUCUGGGCUUGUGAGCGGAGGAGUGUCAGGCAUCCAUCUUUGUGAUUCUCGGAAGGCAUCAUCUUGUUAGCGUCCUCUUCUUGUAGGGUUCUGUGAGCCUGGCCAGCUCACCUUGUUUCUUCCGUUUGUCAUCUCAUUCUGAGUUCUCUCGGUCCUCCCGGUCGUUCUUCUUGCGGUGAGCUUUUUGUUGUUGUGGUGUCCCCUGGUUUGUGGUGUCCGAUGUGAAGGGUGUUGGUGUGUCUUUGUCCCCGAGCUGCUCUGCCCUGCCGCAUGGGUGGGUGUAGGGGUAAUAGAAGAAGCCCCUAGGGCCUGAAGUGGGUGAUGUCAGGUGGAGUUGUGGUGUGGAGGGCAUUCUCGGUUGGCAGCACGUGUCUGUCACUGCCAAAUUCCCUUGUUGCAGUGUGACUAUUUUCCUGACUUUGUUUCAGAUGCAGAUGGAUUCAAUCCAUGGUAGAGCGCCUCAUCCUGGGUGAGGGGGUUCCUCUGUGAAGGUGUAAGUCACUGUCUUUGCUGGGGUAGUGCAAAUAGUGACUGUGUAAGAGCUUUUUUUUUUCUCUUUACUUUCAGGAAGUGAUGGUCGAUGUCAGCUCUCAAGGUGAAGUGGAGCAGGUGAACCGUGAUUGUUGGAGAGAAGCAGUUGCUAUUGCUGAAGUCUUACUUGAUCAUGCAUGUCUAAGCAUCCCCUUUUGUGUUUUAUGGGGUCUGCUUGCAUGACGCCAUUCUGUCACGAACUAGGUGCUGGUAUCUGUUUGGAAUUUAGUGUGGAGAAUCUUUCUGUGGAGAAUUUUUCUGAUGCAUGGCUGCCAGCAAGGGCCACGAUACUCUUAAGUCGGUUGGAAUGUAACUAUGUCUGUGUGGUGUACGUGAUGAUUAACAAGGAUACAAUAUCCUUGAGCACUAGAAUGAUACAACAACAAAGGUGUUGUUAGUACAAAAAUGCUGAAAAAUGCUAGGCUAAGGAACUGAAAAUGCUAGAUAAAGAAAAUUGUAGCCGCAAGGCUGAUUACAGAAAGAACAUGCGUCAAAAUAGCAUAAGCUAAUCAUGAGCUAUAGUUUUGUAAUAUGUAUGAACUAAUUAUUGACACUAUAUAUUUGCUAUUAAUCUAAAUAAAGCUGAGACUUGUUGAUCAUCAUCGGAUGUGGCUUGUCUCCCGUUGUUUUCCGACAAUUUUAGCUGGCUGCCAUCCCUUUGCUGGCCCAUAGCCUUUGACAGAAACAGUGUCCCUUCUCCAUGGGCAUGCCAAUUCCCCCUCCCCUGUUCCUGAUGUGAUUUUGUAGGAGGCAUUUGGCACUCCAAGUUAGACAUGUAAGUGUUGUUUCUGCCAGCCUUUGCCAGCCCUGUAAGCCUGCUUCCCUUCCCUUUCUGCAGCAUGUGUCUGUCCUGGUCUUAGGAUUUGUGCAUGCUUUGAAAAGGAAUGUUUCA